GAAGUAGGUAGCCGACAGUGUGAGUAACACGUGGGUAACCUGCCCAUAAGACUGGGAUAACUCCGGGAAACCGGGGCUAAUACCGGAUAACAUUUUGAACCGCAUGGUUCGAAAUUGAAAGGCGGCUUCGGCUGUCACUUAUGGAUGGACCCGCGUCGCAUUAGCUAGUUGGUGAGGUAACGGCUCACCAAGGCAACGAUGCGUAGCCGACCUGAGAGGGUGAUCGGCCACACUGGGACUGAGACACGGCCCAGACUCCUACGGGAGGCAGCAGUAGGGAAUCUUCCGCAAUGGACGAAAGUCUGACGGAGCAACGCCGCGUGAGUGAUGAAGGCUUUCGGGUCGUAAAACUCUGUUGUUAGGGAAGAACAAGUGCUAGUUGAAUAAGCUGGCACCUUGACGGUACCUAACCAGAAAGCCACGGCUAACUACGUGCCAGCAGCCGCGGUAAUACGUAGGUGGCAAGCGUUAUCCGGAAUUAUUGGGCGUAAAGCGCGCGCAGGUGGUUUCUUAAGUCUGAUGUGAAAGCCCACGGCUCAACCGUGGAGGGUCAUUGGAAACUGGGAGACUUGAGUGCAGAAGAGGAAAGUGGAAUUCCAUGUGUAGCGGUGAAAUGCGUAAAGAUAUGGAGGAACACCAGUGGCGAAGGCGACUUUUCUGGUCUGUAACUGACACUGAGGCGCGAAAGCGUGGGGAGCAAACAGGAUUAUAUACCCUGGUAGUCCACGCCGUAAACGAUGAGUGCUAAGUGUUAGAGGGUUUUCCCCCUUUAUUGCUGAAGGUAACCGCAUUAAGCACUCCGCCUGGGGAGUACGGUCGCAAGGGUUGAAACUUCAAAGUAAUUGACGGGGGCCGCUACCAUGGUAUUCGUUUAUUUAUCCAAAUCUUAGUCUGACCUUGAACCUAAGUGCUUCUUUCGGCUGA
rnacentral:rRNA from 1 species